rnacentral:rRNA from 1 species
GACAGAGGAUGCAAGCGUUAUCCGGAAUGAUUGGGCGUAAAGAGCUUGUAGGCGGUUUGUCGCGUCUGCUGUGAAAAUCCGGGGCUCAACCCCGGACUUGCAGUGGGUACGGGCAGACUAGAGUGUGGUAGGGGAGACUGGAAUUCCUGGUGUAGCGGUGAAAUGCGCAGAUAUCAGGAGGAACACCGAUGGCGAAGGCAGGUCUCUGGGCCACUACUGACGCUGAGAAGCGAAAGCAUGGGGAGCGAACAGG